UGGGGAAUAUUUCACAAUGGGCGCAAGCCUGAUGCCGCCAUGCCGCGUGUGUGAAGAAUGCCUUCGGGUUGUAAAGCACUUUCUGCGGGGAGGAAGGCGAUAAGGUUAAUAACCUCAUCGAUUGACGUUACCCGCAGAAGAAGCACCGUCUAACUCCGUGCCAGCAGCCGCGGUAAUACGGAGGGUGCAAGCGUUAAUCGGAAUUACUGGGCGUAAAGCGCACGAAGGCGGUCUGUCAAGUCGGAUGUGAAAUCCCCGGGCUCAACCUGGGAACUGCAUUCAAACCUGGCAGGCUAGAGUCUUGUAGAGGGGGGUAGAAUUCCAGGUGUAGCGGUGAAAUGCGUAGAGAUCUGGAGGAAUACCGGUGGCGAAGGCGGCCCCCUGGACAAAGACUGACGCUCAGGUGCGAAAGCGUGGGGAGCAAACAGG
rnacentral:rRNA from 1 species